UGUAAACCGGGAUGCGGGGUCCUCGGGGCCCAACCUCCCACCCGUGUUGCCCGAACCUAUGUUGCCUCGGCGGGCCCCGCGCCCGCCGACGGCCCCCCUGAACGCUGUCUGAAGUUGCAGUCUGAGACCUAUAACGAAAUUAGUUAAAACUUUCAACAACGGAUCUCUUGGUUCCGGCAUCGAUGAAGAACGCAGCGAAAUGCGAUAACUAAUGUGAAUUGCAGAAUUCAGUGAAUCAUCGAGUCUUUGAACGCACAUUGCGCCCUCUGGUAUUCCGGAGGGCAUGCCUGUCCGAGCGUCAUUGCUGCCCUCAAGCCCGGCUUGUGUGUUGGGCCCCGUCCCCCCCGCCGGGGGGACGGGCCCGAAAGGCAGCGGCGGCACCGCGUCCGGUCCUCGAGCGUAUGGGGCUUCGUCACCCGCUCUAGUAGGCCCGGCCGGCGCCAGCCGACCCCCAACCUUUAAUUAUCUCAGGUUGACCUCGGAUCAGGUAGGGAUACCCGCUGAACUUAAGCAUAUCAAA
rnacentral:rRNA from 1 species